GGCUCUGCGGCUUAGUUGGCUAAAGCGCCUGUCUUGUAAACAGGAAAUCCUGGGUUCGAAUCCCAGCAGGGGCU
rfam:Ovis aries breed Texel chromosome 11, whole genome shotgun sequence.